GGGGAGUUAGCUCAGUGGUAGAGCGUUUGCUUAGCAUGUAAGAGGUCGCGAGUUCAAUCCUCGUACUCUCCA
rfam:Vittaforma corneae ATCC 50505 unplaced genomic scaffold supercont1.5, whole genome shotgun sequence.